GACGAACGCUGGCGGCGUGCUUAACACAUGCAAGUCGAACGGAAAGGCCCUGCUUUUGUGGGGUGCUCGAGUGGCGAACGGGUGAGUAACACGUGAGUAACCUGCCCUUGACUUUGGGAUAACUUCAGGAAACUGGGGCUAAUACCGGAUAGGAGCUCCUGCUGCAUGGUGGGGGUUGGAAAGUUUCGGCGGGUGGGGAUGGACUCGCGGCUUAGCAGCUUGUUGGUGGGGUGGUGGCUUACCGAGGCUUUGACGGGUAGCCGGCCCGAGAGGGUGACCGGGGACAUGGGGACUGCGGUACGGCGCAGACGGGUACGGGGGGCAGCAGGGGGGAGUAUUGCGCAGUGGGCGGAAGCGUGAUGCGGCGACGCCGCGUGCGGGAUGACGGCCUUGGGGGUGUAAAGCGCUUUCGCCUGUGACGAAGCGUGAGUGACGGUAGUGGGUAAAGAAGCACCGGCUAACUACGUG
rnacentral:rRNA from 1 species